CUCAACUUGGACCCUCUUCCAUCCAGAGGAGAAGAAGGGCAAGCGGAGGAUCCGAACCACCUUCACCACAGAGCAGCUGCAGGAGCUGGAGAAGAUCUUCCACUUCACCCACUACCCCGAUGUCCAUAUCCGCAACCAGCUGGCAGCCAGGAUCAACCUCCCAGAAGCUCGGGUACAGAUCUGGUUCCAGAAUCAGCGAGCCAAGCGGCGGAAGCAGGAGAGGACCGGCAGCCUGGGGGCUCCGUCGCAGCUGAGCGAGGCGGCCCUGGCCCCGCCCACAAACCCGGACGUAGCCGGCCCCAUGCUGCUGCCCCCUGCACGGCCCUGGCUGACUCCUCUCUCAGGGUGCUGUCCGCUGGCUCGAGGUCAACUAGCCUCUGCCUGGCUCCCCACCCGGAUCACCCUCCUCCCAUGCCACCCAUGGGCGACACAGCCCCUCCCGGGCCCUCCCAGCCAGCAGACCUGUGUCCCUGCACUCUGCUUUUUUUCCAUCUCCUCACCCCAAAUGGGGCAGCAUCUGUGCCACUUCCACACAGGGACCGGACAUCCUCUCCCCGGCGGAGCCACUGUCCUCUCCAGGUGAAGGCAGGUGGCAGAAAGGUGCCCAGGCCUCUGGGGGAAUCGUCUCAGAAUUCACAGCCCAAGAAGCCACCCUGAGUGCAUCCCUUGGAAGGUUACAUCGGACUCAGCAGCAAGAUGGCCAAUAAAGGAAGCUCUUAUCUCUCCUGGCCA
rnacentral:lncRNA from 1 species